rnacentral:lncRNA from 1 species
UCUAACUACUUCAGCUGCACUUUCAUCUCCUACUUUAUUUUCGUGGGAAUCAACGACAUGAUUCCUUACAUUUUCCUAAAUUUUCUGUCGAAGUAUCCCAAAAUUAAUGGCGGUCUCCAAGCUUAAUCACCUCUACUUGGUGCCCCCUCACAAUCCAACCUCAAUCCCUCAACCCCCAAUCUCUCUUCUCCCUUCAAGACCCUCAGCUCCUCUCUCUCUCAAAACCCGUCUCAAUCUCUGCAAUUUGCUGCGGGAAACUCCAUUCAAAACCACCAUUAACCAAAAUGAAGAGCAAAAAGAGGGCCCAUUUAAUCACUACUGCGAAAAGGCUGAUUCUCUCUCGGUGGCUUUCCCUGCACUCGCAUUUUCGAACACCCUUUUCUUCGCUACAAACGUUGCGCUGAUCGUGGGCGAGGACGAUCACGAGGAGAAGCUGAUCAGCCGGUUCCGCCGCGAGGUGCUCAAGGCGGGCGUGCUUCAGGAGUGCCGGCGGCGGCGGUUUUUCGAGUGCAGCCAGGAGAAGCGGAAGCGGAAGUCGCGUNAUCAUUUGUAACCCUGUUUUAUUUGGACGUGCAUUUCUUUUAAUUUCUUUUCGUAUUUUUCUCAUAAUGUCUGGCAGGUUACAUACUACAAUGGACUUUGAAUUUAAACUCACCUCUAUUUAAAAACAAAAAAAAAUAAAACAUGAAAUAGCAAUAAAAUUACUUGAGAAAGUAUAUUGAAAACUUUGUUUUGGGAAAUAUAAGAAAUUGGAAUCAUUUCUUGUAUAAAUCUUUAGCCGAGAGAAAAUAUUUCUCAAGCAAAUUGGCUAUUUUGUAAACGAGAGAAAAGUUUUCUUCAGUAAAUUAUUAUAUUUAAGAAAACAAAUAUUAACCUUGAUAGGACACCAUUUUAGAGUUUCAUGUACUUCUUUCGUCUAUAAAAAAUAGUUUAGUUUAUUGUCAUUUUUGUAAAUUUUUUUAUUAUAUGAUGAGAUAUUUUUUAUAUUUAUAAUAUAAUACAAUUAAUUAUUAUUAAUGAUACUUUUAAGUGAGAUUUUUUCUCAAUUUACAAUAUGUUAAUUAUUUUUAUUAAAAUUCGUAUCAUUAAGAAUUAUUUUCUGUGAAAGAAGCUUCUGCUAAAAAAGAAGCUUCUCACUACUUCAGCUGCACUUUCAUCUCCUACUUUAUUUUCGUGGGAAUCAACGACAUGAUUCCUUACAUUUUCCUUAAUUUUCUGUCGAAGAAUCCCAAAAUUAAUGGCGGUUUCCAAGCUUAAUCCCCUCUACUUGGUACCCCCUCACAAUCCAACCUCAAUCCCUCAACCCCCAAAUCUUCCUCUUCUCCCCUUCAAAGACCCCUCAGCUCCUCUCUCUCUCAAAACCCGUCUCAAUCUCUGCAAUUUGCUGCGGGAAACUCCAUUCAAAACCACCAUUAACCAAAAUGAAGAACAAAAAGAGGGCC